rnacentral:rRNA from 1 species
AAAAUCGGCAAUACAAUGCUGAAUACGCCGGUUCUCGCCCGAUCACCGAAGCUAAGCAGCAUUGGGCUCGGUCGGUACUUGGGAGGGAGACCACCUGGGAACACAGAGUGCUGAUGGCA